UACAGAGGGGGCAAGCGUUGUUCGGAAUUACUGGGCGUAAAGGGCGCGUAGGCGGCCGCCUAAGUCAGACGUGAAAUCCCUCGGCUCAACCGGGGAACUGCGUCUGAUACUGGGUGGCUUGAAUCCGGGAGAGGGAUGCGGAAUUCCAGGUGUAGCGGUGAAAUGCGUAGAUAUCAGGAGGAACACCAAUAGCGAAGGCAGCUCGCUGGGACGAUACUGACGCUAAGGCGCGAAAGCGUGGGGAGCGAACAGG
rnacentral:rRNA from 1 species